CGCUCAACGAAGUGCUCGACUUCGAGCCGGUACCGCUCGAAGAGAGGCCUCUGGAGAGCACGGAGACGAGGACGAGGGGGAGUGUUAGUAAGAAAAAGAGGAAGGUGACGGUGAGUCACGCCUCUACUCCCCCACUUGCUCCUCAGACUCAGCAGCAGGCUCUUCAGCCUACUCCUCAGUCGAUGCAGUUACGCACACCUCUGGGCCUUUCGGUUCUGCUGCCUUGCACAAGGAGCAGGUUCGUAUGGCAAUCGGCAGGUUCUUGUAUGACGCCGGUGUGCCAUUGGAGGCUGUGAAUUCUAUCUACUUCCAGCCAAUGCUCGAAGCCAUUGCUUACUGGAAUAUUAUUGACUAGAGAUGGGAUAACCACACACACGGCCACUUCAUUCAGCUGGUUUCUUCCUGAACCCCCUAUUUUUUGAAGGAAUUCGAGGUGACAUAUCAAAUGGAAUCUUUUCAGGAAUGCUAGACUGCAUAGAAAGGCUGGUUUCUGAUGUGAAAAUCCAAGACAAAAUCCAGAGAGAGCUCAACAUGUACCGGAGUGAGUCAGCAGAGGAUUUUUGCAGGCAAAUGGCUGUCCGAUCUAGGCGUACUUUACCUCAUGCUGAGUGGUGGUAUACCUAUGGAGGAGCUUGCCCAAAUUUGACACGUCUAGCAGUCCGUAUUCUCAGUCAAACCUGCAGUGCUAGAGGAUGUGACCGGACAUUCAUUCCUUUCGAACAAAUUCAUGACGAAAGACUGAAUAGUUUUGAGCGUCAACGAAUGCAUCAUCUCACUUUUGUUCAAUACAACCUUCGGCUACAGCAACGACAACAACGCAAGGGGAAAGCAUUUGAUCCUGUCUCAGUGGACUACAUAGACAUAGUUGAUGACUGGGUUGUGGACUGAAUAGAGCUGCACUGUUCCCCAUCCCAGCCGAGCAGCCAAACUGGAUGGAGAUUAAUCAACCAGUCAUCCGAAUCACGUCCAGGGAACCAAAUGAAGAUGAAUUCGAAUCCUUCAUUGAAGGAGUUGAUGACGAAAUGAUCCAAGGUGUAGCGCAGGGCAUCCAGGAAGAUGACGAUGACCCUGCUUGUGGCUGAGGCUAGCUAUAGAUGAACUAGUCGGCUAACCUGUAAGGUGAUGUUGUAUGGACAAAAUCUGGCGUUGCCUGUCAUGAUUUUCCAUGUAGCAGAACAAGUAUAUGCCUCUUAUUCUGUAAUUUAUACUUACUGUCUGUUUUGGUCCUUAAGAUAUUUAGAGUUCAGAUAUCUUCCGUAUCUUUGGUCAAGUCCAUCACUGAUAAAAAAACAGGCUUUAUCGUAAAGUUA